ACUAGUCUGUUUAUGUGUCCCUGUAUAUUUUGCUAAACAUGCAUGCAUUAUUUGUUUAAGAGAAAAUAUAUACAGGGUAAAGAAGUGCCUUCCAGGGGAAAUGUAUGAAUUAAUUAGGUAAUUCAGUUUCACUUCUUAGUCAAAUGAUGGAAAUGAAUAUUUAAAAAAUAAGCCAUUGCAGUCAGGCAGGAAUGAGGUUUCCAGCAUGGGUUGUCUUCCUGUUGUUUUCUCCAGAUCUUUCAUCUAAUUGCUGGUCCUGGGGCAUGAGUAAGUACCUCCAGAGUUGGGACUGGUGGUUGCCACAUCCCCAGACUUACAAUGGACUGAUCCCUCAUUCAGUACUAAGCAGCAGGUAGAUACAGUUGUCAUGGUUUUCUGUAAUAAAGUAUGGUACCAGGAUGGCUAAUAGAACUAACACCCUCAAUCCAAACAAUACAAUGAGCAGGAUAGUUCCUUUAGGCAUUAGAAACAUUACUUUGCAGAUGUGCUUAAUUCAUAGGGGUGGUUAAUUCUUUGUUCGAUGUUUGUUUUGGUGAGUGACUGGAGUUUCUGCCAAAGUACAGGCUAAUAAGCAAGUAAAUGGUGUAUCUACUCAAAGUGGCAAUAGUAUUAUGUGCUUUAUUCAGAAAUCACUUUGUUCCCUUUGAUUUUCUGCUGUCAUUCCUCUUAUACAUUUAUCAGGGUAAAUUUGCUAAGCUUUCCCACUGAUAAUAUACUGGGAAAAUAGGCCAAAAGAUUCUGUUACCUGCAUUUUUAUUUUUGUUUAGUAAAUUGAAGGCUCAAUUGAUGUGUCCCUCAGUUGAAUAGGACAAGUACACAUCAACAUAAUACACAGAUGUAUCCGUUCUAGAAGUGAGGUCAACCUAAAUACUUUCCCCUGAAAGUCGUCAGAUCUUAAAACACUUGGGGAAGUGAUUUUAAAUGACAUUUUAACAUUUCUUGAAGGCUUUUUUUUUUUUUUUUUUUUUAAAGACAUUAGGGUCAACUCAGUUGUAUGGGGUAAUUUUUUAAAAAUACACCAAAGAUUCUAGUAUUUGGUAUGGUUGGGGGAAAAAAUGACUGCCACAUAUAAAAGAACUUUGAAAUAAUAUAAUUCAAUUAGUCAGGUUAAGUAUAAGGUCAGGGUAGCAUGAGUGCUAGUGAAACACCCUUGAGGUUUUUUAUUCUAAGUGCCUUCCCUCCUCAGUACAUUAAAAAGGUAAGGGUGAGAGACAAUCCUUCCCUUUGUGCCAGGCAGUGAAGUCCAUAGCCCAAGAGUUGUAAUAUCAAAGAGAAGGUGAUCCAGAAUUUAUUGGGGGAAGGGAGGACUUGUUAAGGGUUAUGUCCUAGGCUACAAAUGCUUUCCCUUAUAGCAGGCAAACUGCUUUAGGAGCAAUCUUGGCUUUCUGUUUUCCUUUCCAUUAUACUUUAGGCUAUAAUAACUGGUUUCUAUUAAAUUGCUUAAAUAGCCCAGGAGGUGGCUCAGUGGCUAAAGUAUUGGACUUCAAAGCAUGAGGUUCUGAGUUUAGUACCCAGCAUGCAUGAUCCAGAGUGGCUCUGUUGGAGAUCUUGUUUCUCUGGUGAGGUGCACACGUUUCUGCUCUUAAGCCAUAGCAAUUACUUCCUCAUAAAGUCCGUAGUACCUUUAGUUUCUUUUAUUUCACAGAAACUACUAGUAUAAGAAAACACUUUGUCCAGCAAACUGGAUUGGAUUGUGCUUAUAGAUGUACUCAACUUUUUUUGUGUAUGUGUGUUAAAGGCAGCUGUUCUCACUAAUUGGAGAACUUGUCUGAGGCUCUGCACACCUGGGGUUCCCACACCACUGUAACCAGAGCUGUAUAGUGCUUUAAAGAAAAGUUACUCUAUUGAGACAUGGAAGAAUCUAUCAUACACAAUGUCAGUUUAUGGGAUGAUUUUAUUGUAAAAGUUACUUGCAGAAGUGUAACCAUAUAAUUCUGAAAGGAUUGGUGUGGGCUGUCCCAAGAUGAGAGACAUGUCUGCACCACAUUUUAAAAUGAGUUUGAGAUCUUGCUGUUACUUUAGGGCCUGAGAAUCAGAUUUUAUAUUUUAGAAUUACUGUUCCUUGGCCAUUAUCAUCUUACUGUGUUGGCAGCUUAGGAAUUUUUUUUUAUAGGCUGUAAAUCAAAUACCAUAUUUUAAGUGUUUGGGGCAUUAAGAUCUGUGUCUUAUGCCUUUAAAGAAUUAUGGUCUCAUGAUUAUUGACCUGUAGUUUCAGUGUUGCUUCUUACUUGGUCCUUAUGACUAACUUUAAAGUUUCUUAUGACGCAAAACAUUUAUGCUCUGUCUGGAGAAGAUUCAGGGCUGUUUUAUCAUGUGUAGACUUAGGUGAUUUUGCCUCAGAUGAACUGGCUGAAAGAUUCACUGGGUGUUCUUUUCAUUAGUGCUUCUCUUUUGGAACCUUGAAAUUUUCCUGAUCCAUUUCUUACUAUAUAUGUAUACAUUCUCAGCGGAUCAGUUGACUCUGAGCCAUUCAGUUACUGAUGAGUUAGUUGUCCUAUUUGUGGAUUUCGUUGCUAGUUUCACUGGACUAUUUGUAUCACCUGGACAGGCUUUUCUUGACAAUCCUUGGUUCUUUUUCUGGAUGAGGAGCCUUGGUUUUUUUUUUUUUUUUUUUCUUUAUAAAAUGUAUUUAUUAGCAGAGUGGAGAGAGUGAAAACAUGAUAUGGCACAUGUGAUGCCAAGGACCUCAUGCCUGAGAGUCCAGUGCUCUAUCCACUGCACCACUUCGGGCUA